rnacentral:rRNA from 1 species
GAACCCUGACCGAGUAACGCCGCGUGAGUGAAGAAGGUUUUCGGAUCGUAAAGCUCUGUUGUUAAGGAAGAACGAGUGUGAGAAUGGAAAGUUCAUACUGUGACGGUACUUAACCAGAAAGGGACGGCUAACUACGUGCCAGCAGCCGCGGUAAUACGUAGGUCCCGAGCGUUGUCCGGAUUUAUUGGGCGUAAAGCGAGCGCAGGCGGUUAGAUAAGUCUGAAGUUAAAGGCAGUGGCUCAACCAUUGUAGGCUUUGGAAACUGUUUAACUUGAGUGCAGAAGGGGAGAGUGGAAUUCCAUGUGUAGCGGUGAAAUGCGUAGAUAUAUGGAGGAACACCGGUGGCGAAAGCGGCUCUCUGGUCUGUAACUGACGCUGAGGCUCGAAAGCGUGGGGAGCGAACAGGAUUAGAUACCCUGGUAGUCCACGCCGUAAACGAUGAGUGCUAGGUGUUAGGUCCUUUCCGGGACUUAGUGCCGCAGCUAACGCAUUAAGCACUCCGCCUGGGGAGUACGACCGCAAGGUUGAAACUCAAAGGAA